GUGGGGAAUUUUGGACAAUGGGCGCAAGCCUGAUCCAGCAAUGCCGCGUGUGUGAAGAAGGCCUUCGGGUUGUAAAGCACUUUUGGCAGGAAAGAAAUAGCGCGUGCUAAUACCAUGCGCGAAUGACGGUACCUGCAGAAUAAGCACCGGCUAACUACGUGCCAGCAGCCGCGGUAAGACGUAGGGUGCAAGCGUUAAUCGGAAUUACUGGGCGUAAAGCGUGCGCAGGCGGUUUUGUAAGACAGGCGUGAAAUCCCCGGGCUCAACCUGGGAACUGCACUUGUGACUGCAAGGCUAGAGUGUGUCAGAGGGAGGUGGAAUUCCGCGUGUAGCAGUGAAAUGCGUAGAGAUGCGGAGGAACACCGAUGGCGAAGGCAGCCUCCUGGGAUAACACUGACGCUCAGGCACGAAAGCGUGGGGAGCAAACAGGAUUAGAAACCCGGGUAGUCC
rnacentral:rRNA from 1 species